rnacentral:rRNA from 1 species
GUGAUUCGGGGUGCAGCAGGCGCGAAAACUCUACAAUGCAGGCAACUGCGAUAGGGGAACAUCGAGUGAUACUCAUCUUGGGUGUCUGUCCUCCCGUCUAAAAAACGGGAGUUAGCAAGGGCCGGGCAAGACCGGUGCCAGCCGCCGCGGUAAUGCCGGCGGCUCGAGUGGUGGCCGAUAUUAUUGAGUCUAAAGGGUCCGUAGCCGGCUUUGCAAGUCUUUUGGGAAAUCCAGCGGCUUAACCGUUGGGCGUCCGGGAGAUACUACAUUGCUUGGGACUGGGAGAGGUAGGAGGUACUCAGGGGGUAGGAGUGAAAUCCUGUAAUCCUUUGGGGACCACCGGUGGCGAAGGCGUCCUACCAGAACAGGUCCGACGGUGAGGGACGAAAGCUAGGGGCACGAACCGGAUUAGAUACCCGGGUAGUCCUAGCCGUAAACGAUGCUCGCUAGGUGUCACAACAAUCGUGAAUUGUUGUGGUGCCGUAGGGAAGCCGUGAAGCGAGCCACAUGGGAAGUACGACCGCAAGGUUGAAACUUAAAGGAAUUGGCGGGGGAGCACAAUCGAAU